UUAUUUCCUUCAUCGUUGCAGAUAGCUUCUGGUGGCUGCUUCUUGACCAAGUGCAGAGCAGCUAAUACUUGUUUGCAAACAGUAGUCCCAAAACAAGACUGAAAGAGCACCCACAGACAACCCAAAGAAAGACAAGCUAAGAUCUCUGGAUUUUCCUGAACGAUAAGACAGAACUGCAAGAAAGUUCUUCUUCUCUGAUCACUCAAAGAGAAAGAAGUCAUCUAAGCUAAGGGACUGCUGCUUGCUUGGGAGAUUCAGUACUGAGAUCCCACAUAAACAUGGAGAAACACAGACAGAAAAAGAACC
rnacentral:lncRNA from 1 species